UACCAGCACCCCGAGUGGUCGGCACGUUUAUUGGGCCUAAAGCGUCCGUAGCCGGUUCUGCAAGUCUUCCGUUAAAUCCCCCUGCUUAACUGAUGGGCCGCGGAAGAUACUAUAGAGCUAGGAGGCGGGAGAGGCAAGCGGUACUCGAUGGGUAGGGGUAAAAUCCGUUGAUCCAUUGAAGACCACCAGUGGCGAAGGCGGCUUGCCAGAACGCGCUCGACGGUGAGGGAUGAAAGCGGGGGGAGCAAACCGG
rnacentral:rRNA from 1 species